rnacentral:lncRNA from 1 species
GUUUAUUUAGACGUCGGAUAGAUAUGUGAUAAAUUGAAUAAUUGUACUAAACUUUCAUUAAUACUACAAAAUGAGUUUUUAGAAGCAAUUGUUUCUAGUUAAGGAGAAAAACGGAGGAUAAAUUUGUUAAUUUAUACUUCCAUAACCUAGAUGUACAAAUGUAGUUAGUAUAUCACAAAUUCAGCAGUAUGAAGCCAAAUUACAAGCACUUGCAUUCUCCUAUUAAAAGACAUUUUUAAAACAUAAUAUAGAUUUAUCUGAUCUUGGGCACUAAGAGAAUUUAACGAGGAAGCAGAUUUAUUUAAUUUUUCAGAAAAAUCUUUGAUUUUGAUGAUUGGAUGUAAAUUUUAACAUUUUGUAUAUAUAUAUAUAUCUUUUUUUUUUUUUUAAAGAAAUCACGUGACAUUUUACGUGGGACGUUUUUGCAAAGUAGUAUUAACUACAAGGUCAAACAAUUUUAUCUGCUUUACUGGACACCUGACUCUGUUGCACAUGGUUGGUCUUUUGAUUUGAAUUUGUUUGUAGAACCCUGAGGUAGCACCAGUUCAUAUUAAUAUCUACAAAACUAUUAACCAUAUUAUUUAUUGUAAAGCUAAAGGUACGUUGUAAGUACCGAAAUCUACAUCUGCUUCAUUUGGGGUAAUAGUUUUCAGAAUUGACCCUAUAAUAUUAUGAUUUAUUUUAUGAAAACGUUGUUCCGUAAUGAU